UCAACACAAUCUUUGUAAUGUUUUCCAAUAAGCACCUGCCUCUGAGGUUGUCUUUUGGCCUUAUAAACGCUCACGUCCUCAACAUGCGCCAACGGUCAAGCUUUAACUGCUUUUGUUGAACUGUCCGGUCUGUUCUGACCGCUAAACACAGAAUCAUAGGGCGUGAGACAGGACUAGCAGGACUACUACUUACUAAACUCGCAAGACACUGGUGGGAGGACUCAAGGGAAGGCAGAGAGAAAUAUGACAGUGUGACACUGCCAACAGGACACAUUCAACUAUUAAGACGCAAGUAGAACACAAGGGAGGCAAGGAGGGGAUUGGCCGCGAGACGGUGGGAAAGCCGAUGAGACGCAUUGGAGGCCAAGAGUGGCUGGAUGCAAGACAUCAGGCAGGGGGUAUUACACUAACAUGAGGACACAAGGAAAAGACAAGAUUCAAGAUUCAAGAGAGUUUUAUUGUCAUGUGCAUGGUAAAACAGCAGUUAUACCAUGCAAUGAAAAUCUUAUUCUGUUCAUUCUCCCAAGAAAAGAAAGAAAAAUGAAAGAAUAAGAACAUAAGAAACAUAAACACAUAAACAUAUACCAAUAAAUUAAGCAACAACAGAAGAGACAUUAAUACAAGUAAAUAAUACAAAUAAAUAAAGUGCUAUGAGUGUGUGCGUGUGUUGCGUGCGGCGUGUGCGAGUGCUUCGUUGAGGAGCCUGAUGGCCUGUGGGUAAAAGCUGUUUGCCAGCCUUGUGGUCCUGGACUUCAAACUCCUGUAGCGUCUGCCUGACGGUAGGAGUGUGAAUGAGUGAUGUGGAUGUGUGCUGUCCUUGAUGAGGUGUGUUCUUCGUAGGACUCUAGAUUUAUAAAUGUCUUGCAGUGAGGGGAGGGCUGCCCCAACAAUGUUCUGUGAGGUCUUGAUCACCCGCUGGAGUGCCUUCCUAUCACGUGUUGUACAGUUACCGUAACCAAACAGUGAUGGAGGAGGUAAGGACACUUUCCAUAGUGCAUCUGUAGAAGCAACUCAGGAUUGUGGUGGACAUGCCAAAUUUCCUCAGUCUUCUCAGGAAGUACAGUCUCCUUUGGGACUUCUUCAGAAUUUGUUGGGUGUUGUGAGACCAGGUGAGGUCCUCGCUGAUGUGUGUGCCAAGGAACUUGAAGGUUUUCACCCUCUCCACCUCAGUCUCAUCAAUAAACGGGGGUUUAUGCGGCUCCUUUUCCCUUGUUCUUGGGUCGAUGAUCAUCUCUUUAGUCUUAUCUGUAUUGAGAAGGAGAUUGUUAUCAUGACACAAAGCUAUGAGGUCCGCCACCUCUCUUCUGUAUGAUGUUUCAACACCACCAGUGAUCAGUCCGAUGACUGUAGUGUCAUCCGCAAAUUGAAUGAUGCUGGUGUUGUUCUGGGAGGCCACGCAAUCGUAGGUGAAGAGCGUGUAGAGGAGUGGACUCAGCACACACCCCUGUGGGGUCCCAGUGCUCACAAUUCUUGAGCUGGAUGUGCGGUUGUGGACUCUGACUGGGGUCUGCCUGUGAGAAAGUUAAACACCCAGUUACAGAGGGAGGGAGACAGGCCAAGUGUGAGGAGCUUAUUAGUGAGUUUGUGGGGGCAGACUGUAUUAAAAGCAGAGCUAUAGUCUAUAAAUAGCAUUCUGACGUAUGUGUCCUGGCCCUGUAGGUGAGAAAGGGCUGUGUGGAUGGCAGUGUUGACUGCAUCAUCCGUGGACCGGUUCUGGCGAUAUGCAAACUGUAGAGGGUCCACAGUUGCCGCCUGGAUGCUCUUUUUGAUGUGGGUCAUGACUAUUCCUUCAAAGCACUUCAUAACAAUAGGAGUGAGUGCUACAGGGCGAUAGUCAUUCAAGCAGGUCACGUUGCUCUUCUUGGGUACGGGCACUAUGGUGGUGGACUUAAAGCAGGUCGGUACAGAUGCUUGUGCAAGCGACAGGUUAAAUAUGUCAGCAAGCACAUCAGCUAGCUCUGAUGAGCAAACCCGAAGUGCACGUCCUGAGAUGUUGUCUGGCCCUGCUGCUUUUCGUGGGUUUGUUUUGUUCAGAACCCUGCGCACGUCAGCUGAUGUCACCAUGAGAGGUGAGUCCUGUGUGCUCCCCAAGCCCAGCCACUCUCUGCUGGUCAGGAGUUUGGGUGUCAAAGCGGGCAUAGAACUCAUUCAACUCAUCAGGAAGUGUGGUUUGGCUGGACGUGGCUACGCUACUCCGCUGUCGAUAGUCUGUGAUGUGCUGGAGCCCCGCCCACAUGCGCCGAGGGUCUGAGGUGGAAUAGUAGCCCUCCAGCUUCUGUCUGUACUGUCUUUUGGCCUCUCGUAUGGACCUCCUCAGGUCAUAUGUGGCCUUUUUGUAGUCAUCAGCGGUGCCCAUGACAAAUGCAGUCGAACGAGCACGUAGCUUAGCCCUUACAUCACAGUUCAUCCACUGUUUUUGGUUAGGGUAUUUUCUGUAAUACUUGGUGGUGGUAACAGUCUCUAUACAUGUGCUAAUGUAGCCAGUAACAGCAGAAGCAUAUUCAUCCAAAUCAACAGUACAAUCUUCCCUCCCCGCUGCAGUUUUAAACACAUCCCAGUUUGUGCAGCCAAAGCAGUCCUGAAGUACUUGAUCAGUUUCUUCAUUCCACACUUUAACUGCUGUACUUACAGGGGGAGCUUUUUUAAGAAGUUGUCUGUAUGUUGGAUAAAGGAAUAUAGAGAUGUGGUCAGCCUUUCCAAAGUGGGGUCUUGGAACAAGAUAGUGUCGUCACCAGGGAAGGCAAGAGAUACUUGGGCUGUGAGACAGGCCCUUGAACAAGACUGACAGGGGAAGACAAGGAUGUGAUUGGCCAGGAGACAUAGGAUGGGACUGAAACAAAGACACAGUUGGGAGGAGACGAGCCAACUUGGUGCGAGACAAAACAGUGAUGGUUAAGUAGAUAUAGGUGGAAGAACACAGAGGACACUGGCUGUGAAACGCAGGACGGGACUAAAGGCAGAAAUCGAACAGCGCCCCCUUCCUUUGUUGCUGAUGGAGGAAAACUGACUUCCUGCGUGACUUCCUGCCCCUCAUUCACAGGCACACAUCGCCACAAAGAACUUCUUUUGGUGGUCACAUUCAACAUGAAGCCUCAGUCUUCAUCCCUCAUUGUCUUCAUCACCAAUGUCCUCUGCAUGACAGGAGUCAAGCUGAGCAAAGACAAAGACGUCUUCCAGGCACCUCACAAGAGUCUUCAAGAGAACAACCAACACUAAGUUUCCACCAUGAGUUCCAGAACUACGACACCAUCCUGUGGUACCGGCGCUUGGCUGGAGUUGAUCGUCUGGGUGAACUACAAAGAGCCCUCAGUGGUGACGCACUUCGGGAGCCACUUAAAUGCUGCACUCAGUUCAUCCAGCUCAAGUCCUUGAGAUCCAGUCACCCACCUCACUUGGGCGUGCCUCAAGGCUCUGUUCCGGGUACCCUCCUCUUCAUCUACCUCCUACGGAUUGUUAGAUGGUGAUGUUGCCUGGUGUCUUCUCCGUAUUUGUAUAGCCCAUUUUUGAUUACACUCAGGGCACUGAUAACUACCGGUAUGGUGGAUGUUUUCAUACCACAUAUUCUCUUGAUUUGGCCUUUGGCUAGGGUAUUUUUCAUUCCAGAUUUCACAGGUGUCCAUGGUCUCUUCAGCUGCCUUCACAACUGGAUUGUUAUGCCUGCAUUGCCCAGUCCAUACUGCGGCUAGGGGAGGAUGGGUCUUAUGUAACGGAUGCCGGCUUUGCAAAGGGCCAGCUUGCAGGCCCCCAGUUCUGACUGGUUGAUGGACUGUUCAACGAGCUGUUAUGCCCACAAAGGCUGACCGAGGAGGAGAAAGUGAUAUUUCUGGUCUGAAAGCUGUAAAAAUCCCCACAAUGAAACCCAGCUACAGAGACAAGAAGACAGAGCCUGGACACACCCCGCCUUCCUGGCAAAACAGGCAUGGGUGUCCAAAGUGUGGCGCAGGGGCCAUCUGAGGAACGUGCGUCAUUGCAAAAAAAAUUAUCAAAGGGGCUCCCUUUGAUAUCCCUUUGAUAUAAUUAUCUUGUGCAAUGUUAUGCUAUUAUGCUAUGAUAUGUUAUGCUAUGCUAUGCAAUGUUUUAUGAUGUGAUGGUAGGUUAUAUGAUGCGGUGCUAUGUUAUGUUACGCUACGUUACAUUAUACGCUAUAGGUCAUAUUGAAUGUCUGGGAGGGGUGAAAUUGUGUGCAACAUCCCCGCCUUCUGUUCCUGAGCUUCUUUUCUUAGCGCCACACAAAUAG